rnacentral:rRNA from 1 species
UACGUAGGGUGCGAGCGUUAAUCGGAAUUACUGGGCGUAAAGCGUGCGCAGGUGGUUUGUUAAGUCAGAUGUGAAAGCCCCGAGCUUAACUUGGGAACUGCGUUUGAAACUGGCAAGCUAGAGUCUGUCAGAGGGGGGUAGAAUUCCACGUGUAGCAGUGAAAUGCGUAGAGAUGUGGAGGAAUACCAAUGGCGAAGGCAGCCCCCUGGGAUAAGACUGACGCUCAUGCACGAAAGCGUGGGGAGCAAACAGGAUUAGAUACCCUGGUAGUCCACGCCCUAAACGAUGUCAACUGGUUGUUGGGCAACUUGAUUGUUCAGUAACGAAGCUAACGCGAGAAGUUGACCGCCUGGGGAGUACGGUCGCAAGAUUAAAACUCAAAGGAAUUGACGGGGACCCGCACAAGCGGUGGAUGAUGUGGAUUAAUUCGAUGCAACGCGAAAAACCUUACCUACCCUUGACAUGUACGGAAGUCUGCUGAGAGGUGGAUGUGCCUGAAAGGGAACCGUAACACAGGUGCUGCAUGGCUGUCGUCAGCUCGUGUCGUGAGAUGUUGGGUUAAGUCCCGCAACGAGCGCAACCCUUGCUAUUAAUUGCCAUCAUUAAGUUGGGCACUUUAAUAGGACUGCUGGUGAUAAACCGGAGGAAGGUGGGGAUGACGUCAAGUCCUCAUGGCCCUUAUGGGUAGGGCUUCACACGUCAUACAAUGGCCGGUACAGAGGGAUGCCAACCCGCGAGGGGGAGCCAAUCUCAGAAAGCCGGUCGUAGUCCAGAUUGUUCUCUGCAACUCGAGAGCAUGAAGUCGGAAUCGCUAGUAAUCGCGGAUCAGCAUGUCGCGGUGAAUACGUUCCCGGGUCU